AUUGAACGCUGGCGGCAUGCCUAACACAUGCAAGUCGAACGGAAACGAUGCUAGCUUGCUAGCAGGCGUCGAGUGGCGGACGGGUGAGUAAUGUAUAGGAACUUGCCCAGUAGUGGGGGACAACUUAUGGAAACGUAAGCUAAUACCGCAUAAUCUCUACGGAGGAAAGCAGGGGCUCUUUGGACCUUGCGCUAUUGGAUAGGCCUAUAUUAGAUUAGCUAGUUGGUGAGGUAAUGGCUCACCAAGGCGACGAUCUAUAGCUGGUUUGAGAGAAUGAUCAGCCACACUGGGACUGAGACACGGCCCAGACUCCUACGGGAGGCAGCAGUGGGGAAUAUUGCACAAUGGAGGAAACUCUGAUGCAGCAAUGCCGCGUGUGUGAAGAAGGCCUUAGGGUUGUAAAGCACUUUCAAUAGGGAGGAAAAGUAAGUAGUUAAUACCUGCUUACCGUGACGUUACCUAUAGAAGAAGGACCGGCUAACUCCGUGCCAGCAGCCGCGGUAAUACGGAGGGUCCGAGCGUUAAUCGGAAUUACUGGGCGUAAAGCGCGCGUAGGCGGAUAUUUAAGUCAGAUGUGAAAUCCCUGGGCUCAACCUAGGAACUGCAUUUGAAACUGGAUAUCUAGAGUAUGGUAGAGGUGAGUGGAAUUUCAGGUGUAGCGGUGAAAUGCGUAGAGAUCUGAAGGAACAUCAGUGGCGAAGGCGACUCACUGGGCCAUUACUGACGCUGAGGUGCGAAAGCGUGGGUAGCAAACAGGAUUAGAUACCCUGGUAGUCCACGCCCUAAACGAUGUCAACUAGGUGUAUGGGGGUUUAUCCCUUGUGUAUCGAAGCUAACGCGAUAAGUUGACCGCCUGGGGAGUACGGCCGCAGGCUAAACUCAAUGAAUUGACGGGGGCCCGCACAAGCGGUGGA
rnacentral:rRNA from 1 species